rnacentral:lncRNA from 1 species
UCUUACCCACGUCCCAAUCCACCCAUCCCCAAACUAAACUUGCUACUUAUAGCCAUCACCAGCCACCACCACACGAUGAACUUAGCAGUCCCAUCUAAGCCGGUUCUAGAGACUAAGCAGCAUGAGCCGAGAGGCAUAAUGAAGCUCACGUGGAGGUGAAACCAAAACAGUUGCCUGUAUCUCGUACCACUUCUUUUCAUCGUUCUCUAGCGACGGAUCCACUGAGGAAUUGGAGAAUAGAAACUUAAAUUGGUGAAUUGUCGUUCUUCUCCUACCGAAUUUCGAACUCUACUUUCUAGGUUUAGUCGUCUUUGUCUCACCAAUAUUCACCUCACAGCACAUACCCGCCAUGGAAUAUCAGUCUCAUAAAAGUAUGUUGGGUUGUAUAGCAACAAAAAUAUUUUUUGGUGGUUGGUUUUGGUUUGAUUAUGGUGUUAGCGAUUUACGAGCUACUGUUAUGUGUAAUGGUGUUGGCUGUGUCGAUCGUCUGACUGUGAUGGUGGCGGUCUACAAGCAAAAUUGUGGAUUUGGGUGGGGAACGAUAAGGUCGAUGAUGGGGGUGAGGGUUGCUGUGAGCAAUAGUGGUUAGUCAUCGACGAGGAGAUGGUUGUGGUGCCAACCAUCAGACUGUUGGCUGGAAAGAGAAGCCUUUUCAUUUUUUAUCUUUUUCUAAUUUUUUGUUUAUUUAUUUAAUGUGGUAAUUGUAAAAUUACCAUUUUAUCCAUUUCAAUUUGAUCAAAAUCUGUCAAAGUUCACAUUCUUUGGUCGACUAACG